ACAAACAAAUUGCUUUCACAGGUUUUUCCUUUGUUGUUUAGAUGGAAACAAAACACAGGAAGAGGCAGAGCUGUGCGCACAAGGUGAAGACACACACACACACACACACAUAUACAAUGAAAGGCCUUUAUGCCUUUUUCUCACAACAGGCCGCUCACUCUGAUCAAUCCUGACACCCACAUGGCGAAGCCCGAGAGAUGCUUCAGUUCAGAUAAACGUAAUGACUGUGAUUACCACUACGGCCCGAGCAGCAGAUGUGCUGGCGAGCGCUUUCAGAAGUCGCCCUUCUCCGUGGAUAUACACACGGUGUUAACUGCAUACAGAGCAGCCCAAUCUAAAAGCAAUAUGUGUGAGAGUCUAUGAGAUGUGACAUCUGACCGCUGUUCUAAACUUCUUGCGGUUGUCGUUGUAGCCAUAACCCGGCAGUCUAAACACGGCGGGGCUGAACUGUGUGCAACAUAAGCCGUCAAAGACACAAACACGCACACACUUGGACGUGAGUUUCCUUUGCUGAAAACGCCCACCAUCUAAUCUAAGUUGUUUUGUUCGCACUGAUGUACGGUUGGAUGUAGGCUAGCAUUUGAGGUAACCAUCUGAAUCCUUUCAGAAUGAGGGCGUCCGGGCCUGGGAGACAAUCUGGGAAUAAACAAGUCUGUCUGUCGAAGACCUUUUACAUCCCCACGCGGGUGAUUUCACCAAAAGUGGCUACCGAGGACUUUCUUCAUAUCGAAACUGGGUAGGACUACUUUAUCUUGGAAUUAAUCAAUGUUUCCAAUUUAGUGAGAAUGUGAGAAAGAUGAGAUUUUUCCCAGUCGUGUCCAGCUACGUAGGAACCAAGCUGCCGAAGUGUUGCUAAAAUUCCUGUCGAUGUUGUUACAAUGUUAUGUUCUUUUGGGAAACGUCAGUCCUGGCCUUCAUCCGGAUGAUACUCCACAUUCAGAAGGCUCACGUGGCAAAGGCAAGGAGGUGUUCCUAGUUCCCUAGCCAAGUCUAAACCCAGUGUAGUCAUCAGAUACCAGGGCCAAGACAUCGCUUAUAUUCCGACCAGCAACUUGAGACACGAGGACGGAGUAGGAGCUGAGAGAUGACGUCCACGACUGGUUAGUAAGUAGCGAGUUUACGCUCUAGAAAAAGUUUCCAUUUAAGGUAUUAAACCAACCAAAGCUGCUUAAGUUUGGUCAACACAGCUCAGAUUAAUAAACCAACCACAAAUCCCAUAAAAUCUUUUCUGCAUAUUCAUGAGGGAAUAUCUGUUAGUUAGAGAUUUCAUUGUAGUAAAAUAGAUUUAGCAUUUUCAAUAAGUUCUUGGUUUUCAGUUCAU